AGAAAACCUAUGGACUUCCACACAUCCUUCCCUGCUCUAGGGGCAAGAGUUGUUCAGUGUGGUGUGACAACUUGUUUCAGCAUCAGGGGCAAGCGCCUGUAUAAGCGUUCAGCAAAGGCUGUCGGAGGAAUGAUUAGGAGUGUAUCGGCAAUAAAGACUGCUGAGACAUGCCAAACUGCCUGGAAAAAGCAUGAGUUCAGAAGCCUGGAAGAAGCAAAGACCAGCCAAGCAGCUUAGAAGAAACAAGAACCAGCCUAGCUGCCAGGAAGAGGCUCACACAAUGGAGGCAUGCAGAACUAACACCCUCUGACCUAUUGAGCUGCCUGCAGGCUGUGCAGUGGGCCCCAGGUUCCCAGUUUUUGUGAGCUGUCAACCAUGGGGGCUGUGGGAGGGCUUUGGUGAUGGAUCUGUCUUUGAGUCAUUUCCGCUCCUGUAAGUAACCUCACAUUUGUAUUUCUGUAAGUAAUCUGGAUAAACCUCAUUGGUCUACCAAGAUAGACUUUGGUAGUA
rnacentral:lncRNA from 1 species